rnacentral:rRNA from 1 species
UGAGUAACACGUAUCCAACCUGCCGUCUACUCUUGGACAGCCUUCUGAAAGGAAGAUUAAUACAAGAUGGCAUCAUGAGUCCGCAUGUUCACAUGAUUAAAGGUAUUCCGGUAGACGAUGGGGAUGCGUUCCAUUAGAUAGUAGGCGGGGUAACGGCCCACCUAGUCUUCGACGGAUAGGGGUUCUGAGAGGAAGGUCCCCCACAUUGGAACUGAGACACGGCCCAG